rnacentral:sRNA from 1 species
UAUCUUUCCGUACGGGGAAGGAUGAGAAGCUUCGACUAAGGUUCGAUUCGAGCGCAGCGAGAAAGCGUUGCCGCAGGCAACGACCCGAAGGGUGAGGAGCGGAGCGACGAAUAAUCCUUCCCCCACCACCA